rnacentral:rRNA from 1 species
GGAUGAACGCUAGCGGCAGGCUUAACACAUGCAAGUCGAGGGGCAGCAUAAACAUUGCUUGCAAUGUUUGAUGGCGACCGGCGGACGGGUGAGUAACGCGUGAGCAACUUGCCCUUAUCAGGGGGAUAACCAAUGGAAACGUUGACUAAUACCCCAUAGUAUAGCUUUGAGGCAUCUCUUAGUUAUUAAAGAAUUUCGGAUAAGGAUAGGCUCGCGUGACAUUAGCUAGUUGGUGGGGUAACGGCCCACCAAGGCGACGAUCAGUAGCCGGUCUGAGAGGAUGAACGGCCACAUUGGGACUGAGAUACGGCCCAGACUCCUACGGGAGGCAGCAGGUGGGGAAUAUUGGGCAAUGGGGGAAACCCUGACCCAGCAACGCCGCGUGAAGGAAGAAGGCUUUCGGGUUGUAAACUUCUUUUACCAGGGACGAAGAACGUGACGGUACCUGGAGAAAAAGCAACGGCUAACUACGUG